rnacentral:rRNA from 1 species
UAGCUUGCUAUCAGGCGUCGAGCGGCGGACGGGUGAGUAAUACUUAGGAAUCUACCUAGUAGUGGGGGAUAGCACGGGGAAACUCGUAUUAAUACCGCAUACGACCUACGGGAGAAAGGGGGCAGUUUACUGCUCUCGCUAUUAGAUGAGCCUAAGUCGGAUUAGCUAGAUGGUGGGGUAAAGGCCUACCAUGGCGACGAUCUGUAGCUGGUCUGAGAGGAUGAUCAGCCACACCGGGACUGAGACACGGCCCGGACUCCUACGGGAGGCAGCAGUGGGGAAUAUUGGACAAUGGGGGAAACCCUGAUCCAGCCAUGCCGCGUGUGUGAAGAAGGCCUUUUGGUUGUAAAGCACUUUAAGCAGUGAAGAAGACUCCUCGGUUAAUACCCGUGGACGAUGACAUUAGCUGCAGAAUAAGCACCGGCUAACUCUGUGCCAGCAGCCGCGGUAAUACAGAGGGUGCAAGCGUUAAUCGGAAUUACUGGGCGUAAAGGGAGCGUAGGUGGCUCGAUAAGUCAGAUGUGAAAUCCCCGGGCUCAACCUGGGAACUGCAUCUGAUACUGUUGAGCUAGAGUAUGUGAGAGGAAGGUAGAAUUCCAGGUGUAGCGGUGAAAUGCGUAGAGAUCUGGAGGAAUACCGAUGGCGAAGGCAGCCUUCUGGCAUAAUACUGACACUGAGGCUCGAAAGCGUGGGUAGCAAACAGGAUUAGAUACCCUGGUAGUCCACGCCGUAAACGAUGUCUACUAGUCGUUGGGUCCCUUGAGGACUUAGUGACGCAGCUAACGCAAUAAGUAGACCGCCUGGGGAGUACGGCCGCAAGGUUAAAACUCAAAUGAAUUGACGGGGGCCCGCACAAGCGGUGGAGCAUGUGGUUUAAUUCGAUGCAACGCGAAGAACCUUACCUGGUCUUGACAUAUCUAGAAUCCUGCAGAGAUGCGGGAGUGCCUUCGGGAAUUAGAAUACAGGUGCUGCAUGGCUGUCGUCAGCUCGUGUCGUGAGAUGUUGGGUUAAGUCCCGCAACGAGCGCAACCCUUGUCCUUAGUUACCAGCGGGUUAAGCCGGGAACUCUAAGGAUACUGCCAGUGACAAACUGGAGGAAGGCGGGGACGACGUCAAGUCAUCAUGGCCCUUACGACCAGGGCUACACACGUGCUACAAUGGUAGGUACAGAGGGCAGCUACACAGCGAUGUGAUGCGAAUCUCAAAAAGCCUAUCGUAGUCCAGAUGGA